UCUCUCUCUCUCUCUCAUACUGGCUCUUUUAAUAACAAUAUCCAUCAUAUGACAUGGUGCAGUCAACUUUCUCUAAUAAUAGUCAUCUAUUCAUACAUAAAACUAUCUAGAUUGUAAUAAUAGUGAAAUAUAGCCACUUUGAUAUCAGAGAUGCAAUAUAUGGAUUCCGUUUGCAAGAUAUACUCCUACCAAUUUUCAACCUCCACCUCCAUAUCUUAUCCUCAAUAUAAGAGUGAUUGUCACAUACAUAUAAGAUCAGUACAAUCUGUCUUUUCACUAUUUCCAAAAGACCGAGGGAAGUUGGUUCUUAGUCUCUUAGAUGACACUGGCCAAACAUACACCAUCCCUGAAUCUAUCUCCUUAGAAAAUUCUCUUGGGCUAUAUUGUGAUCCUUCUAUGUCGUUAACGCAUUCACUCCAAUCUAGCUAUACAACCUUCAACUUAUUACUUUAAAUCAACAUUUAUUGUCUUCUCUACAAAUAUUCUUACUUCCAUGCUGUUCGUUCUUUUUUUCUCAUAAAGUUGAAGGCACAUGCUAGCCUCAUCUGCCAAUCACACUCUGCACUGCAGCGUCUAGAGGAGAGGACUUGGUGCUGCAUCGGCUCCGAAAUGCGGCUCGGACACCAAUGAAUUGGAGACACAAUGUUGUUAGUUAGUUCCUAUUAUAUUGUAUUUUUCUAUCUGAAUUUUAAUUUUAAGGUGAUGAUUUCUUAACAGCAUAUAGCUGCUUCCAAUGGGAGUGAGCAAAGUGUUAGGAUACUGCUAGAGAAUAAUUGUGCUGAUCCAUGUCCUAGAUGUAUGCUUUGCAAAUUUGAAUUCAGAUACAAAUUUGUUACGUGAUAUUAAGUUCAUGUUUUUUUCAUAUUCAGAAUUUCGUAUCACUGUUUGUGAUUUUUCUUUAAUAAUUUGAAUUCUAAGUAUUAUAGUCAGUCUCAUUUAGAUAUCUUGCAAUGUAAAUGCAUAUCCAGGAGGAAAAGUUCCUUUAUGGAGGCCUUAAGCAGGAGCCACAAGCCUGUGGUGCAUCUUCAGGCGGAGGAUGGAAACGGCCUGCCUGUGGGCGACACGGCCAUGUAUGCACACAUCGCCGUCAAGGAGGAUGAUGUCACAUUGCUUGAGGAGAUCAUCCGGCGGGGAUGUGACCGCUGCGUGUUGCGGCGAUAGCUGCACAACGUAGUCCAGGACGACAACAUCCGGAUUAUUAGAGAAGAUUGGUUGCGACAUCUAGCUUAUUCCAAGGAUGAGGGCUGCCAUUGUACUCAGCAGUGGUCAAGGGGCACACCUGAAUUGGCCAUGCUGCACCGAGCUGAAUGCCAUGACCUGGCCAUGAUGGUGAACCAAGUUGUCCGCCUUCCAGAACUGUGGAUUUGGCGUCAAGGAAAUCUCUUGAAGAACAACAUGGUACAUAAUGUGAGCAUCCCAACUGCAUUUGCCAUCCUCAUAUCAGUUUGGCUGGUCUAAUGGAGGAAGAGUCAAGAGUAUGUGUGCUUCUUCACUGGCAGAAUGGUGUAUCAACUGUGUUGAUCUUCUACUUCAUUGAGUGCCUUUUUAGACAUCUGAUAUGUAAAUUAUGGUUCUCCCAUCAUAAGCUUCUGCUAGAGUAAGGAUACAGUUUAUCAGUUCCUACGUAGAAACAAAUUCUGGCCUACCGAUUAUAUAUUUCGUUCCAUACAAACAUACUAUACAAAAGAUGGAAGUACAUUAUUCUUUGGCUGAA